UACGUAGGGUGCGAGCGUUUGUCCGGAAUUACUGGGCGUAAAGAGCUCGUAGGUGGUUUGUCGCGUUGUUCGUGAAAACCGGGGGCUUAACCCUCGGCGUGCGGGCGAUACGGGCAGACGUUGAGUACUGCAGGGGAGGACUGGAAUUCCUGGUGUAGCGGUGGAAUGCGCAGAUAUCAGGAGGAACACCGGUGGCGAAGGCGGGUCUCUGGGCAGUAACUGACGCUGAGGAGCGAAAGCGUGGGGAGCGAACAGG
rnacentral:rRNA from 1 species